UAAAGGUAAUUAGAAGGCGGGCAAAGGAAUUGGGAAAAGAACAAAACCCUACCAACUCUCGAAGAAGCGCUCCCUGUUUAUACGAAGAAGCUAACUCUCGAAGAACCGCUGACUCCUUCCAGAUUGUACGCGGCUAACUCUCUACUCAGCGCUCAUCGGUGACCUUCAGGCAACUUUAUCCGGUAUUGGGACAUCCGCCACCGUGCAAAAUGAGGACCUUGAGGAGAUGCGGCGAAUAAUUCAACAACUUUCUAGGAAAUGUGCCGAUGAACGGAAAAAAAAGGAAGCAUGAAGAGAAGAUUAGAGACGCACUUAGGAAUGACAUUGAGUCCCUCAAGGCUCAAGUGAAUCACUUAAUCGGCUUGCCCCGCUCUCCGCCAAAAAGAAGCCGACGGUCUCCGCCAAAAAGCCACAUUUAUGAAGAGGAUGAAAGUGAUGGAAAUAAUACAAAUGAUGAAGAAGAUGAGGAGGAACCCGAAGAUGAGUGAUUUUAUGUUUGGUUGGAUUGUUGUUUAGUUGGAUGUUAACUUUGAAUGUUAAGUUUUGAUGUUUGGUUGGAUAGUUUCGAUGAUUGAUGGGAUAAUUUGGAUGUUUGAUGGGAUAAUUUGAAUGUUUAGAUAUAGUUUAUAAAGUUUUUUUGUUGUUAAGUUGAGUUUUA